CCACCAUGCCCAGCCUAUACCACAACCCUUAUUCAGCUGGUCUCCCCCGGGGAGGCUUCAUCUAACAGAGCCAAGACUGUCCUCUCCAUACACUUAGGUUUCCUACAUGAAGAAUUGUCAAUACUACGCUCCCUCAACUAUAUUCAACCAAGGAUCUGCGUGAAACUUUUUCUAAGGUACCAUCUCAAAUAUAUUCAACCACGGAACUGCGUGUAACUUUUUCUAAGGUACCAUCUCAAAUAUAUUCAACCACGGAACUGCGUGUAACUUUUUCUAAGGUACCAUCUCAAAUCACAAGGCCUGGGAUUGGGAAAUUGUUUUACUUUACUAAAGACCACUGUAACUCAAUAAACGAACUUAGAUUAGAAAAUCAGAGGAAGACCACUACUCCUCUCGGAUUGCAUGGCCACUGUCUUCAGCUGUUUUCUGUAGUGAUUGUUUCUAGGUAUUUUACCUAUUUUACCAACCUUUUUCACUUUUUGCACUGAAUAGUGCUAAGGGAAAAAAAGGAUGGGGAAAGGAGUGGCAGUAUCUAUAGCUAGAGGGUCGUCCUAUUUGUGGAAAACUUUAUUGUCUACUUUAGUGGGUCCUGAAUAUUAGUCCAGUCCUUACUGCCCAGCACUUAAGGAAGAAAGGUCUAAUGUGACUGUAUGGGGGUUGAAGUAGGUACCAAAGGAAAAGCAGUUCCCACCACCUCCAAGGAGCAGGAGCUGUUGCUCUUCAGGAAGAAGGAUGCUAGUAUGGUUGUGUAACAUUAAUGGCCAUGGCACAUAUGUUGUGUCAAUCUGAUACUCAGAGCUCAAUCCUGUAGUCAAAUUGAUCACAGUCACUCCAGGAAAUGAGGAGGAAUGAAUCCAGAUCCCUCCAACCAGUAACAGCUUUCCAUUGAGCACAUGAGCUGUGUGGGAGUACCUUGGGGUAAUGGGAGGCUGGAUGUCUACUGACUCCCAGAGGAAUCCACAAGAGAUUGGUCUCAGAAAGAGCACAGAGUUCAAUGGCUCCUCAGAAGC
rnacentral:lncRNA from 1 species